ACACAGUGCAGUUUUGCACUAUUUAUGUCCAACGUUUGACCGUUCGUCUUAUUUGAAAACUUUUUCAAAUAAGAUGGACGGUCAAACAUUGGACACGGAUUUCUACGGCUACACUUAUU
rfam:Oryza meridionalis cultivar OR44 (W2112) chromosome 2, whole genome shotgun sequence.